UAGUCAUAUGCUUGUCUCAAAGAUUUAACCAUGCAUGUCUAAGUAUAAACAAUUCUAUACUGUGAAACUGCGAAUGGCUCAUUAAAUCAGUUAUAGUUUAUUUGAUAAUAUCUACUACUCGGAUAACCGUGGUAAUUCUAGAGCUAAUACGUGCGUAAAAACCCGACUUACGAAGGGUUGUAUUUAUUAGAUACAAAACCAAUGCAGGGUAACCUGGUUUUUUGGUGAUUCAUAAUAACUUCUCGGAUCGCAUGGCUCACGCCGGCGACGUUUCAUUCAAAUUUCUGCCCUAUCAACUUUCGAUGGUAAGGUAUUGGCUUACCAUGGUUACAACGGGUAACGGAGAAUUAGGGUUCGAUUCCGGAGAGGGAGCCUGAGAAACGGCUACCACUUCUACGGAGGGCAGCAGGCGCGCAAAUUACCCAAUCCUGACUCAGGGAGGUAGUGACGAAUAAUAACGAUACGUGACUUCGGUCUAGUAAUUGGAAUGAGUACAAUUUAAACCCCUUAAUGAAUUCCAUU
rnacentral:rRNA from 1 species